rnacentral:rRNA from 1 species
AUUGAACGCUGGCGGCAUGCCUUACACAUGCAAGUCGAACGGUAACAGGUCUUCGGAUGCUGACGAGUGGCGAACGGGUGAGUAAUACAUCGGAACGUGCCCGAUCGUGGGGGAUAACGGAGCGAAAGCUUUGCUAAUACCGCAUACGAUCUACGGAUGAAAGCAGGGGACCGCAAGGCCUUGCGCGGACGGAGCGGCCGAUGGCAGAUUGGGUGGUUGGUGGGAUAAAAGCUUACCAAGCCGACGAUCUGUAGCUGGUCUGAGAGGACGACCAGCCACACUGGGACUGAGACACGGCCAAGACUCCUACGGGAGGCAGCAGUGGGGAAUUUUGGACAAUGGGCGAAAGCCUGAUCCAGCGAUGCCGCGUGCAGGAUGAAGGCCUUCGGGUUGUAAACUGCUUUUGUACGGAACGAAAAGCCUCUUUCUAAUAAAGAGAGGUCAUGACGGUACCGUAAGAAUAAGCACCGGCUAACUACGUGCCAGCCGCCGCGGUAAUAC